AUCUCCUCUGCUGGGCUGGCCCCAAGGCGCAGGCAGUGGGACUUACUGGCCUGAGCAACCCAAUCAAGAACUGAGCAAAUAUCCCCCCAGGAGUCCUUCAGCAGGGACAGAGGGAGCAGGUUCCAAGGGCUCAUGUUGGUGUUCCUUCCCUUUUCCAGAUCUCCAUCUAGGGUCUCACAAAGGCGCCACACUGACCAAAUGACAUGGGGCCAGGCCCUGUGCCUAUCACAAUGGCCCUCUGGUUGAGGCCAGAAGCAUAGUGGUAAAGAGGUGGUCUCAGCAGUCAGGAGGAUGUGGAUUUGGGUCAGCUUUGCUCUACCAAAGGAGCGUGAAGCAGGACAAGUCACUUCACCUCUCUGACCCUUACUGUCCACAGGUGUAAAACGGGGACACUAAGAAUAACCACUGUGUAGAUUCGAUUGAGGAUUCGAUGAGGCCAAGACAGUACCUGAGACACACGGACACUCCAAGGAAAAGGGUUCUGUGACCAGGCUGGGUGAACCUGCAGACUCUACUGCCUUUAUGGGGAUCCAUAAUCCCCCAUUGGCAUAUUCGAGUCUCUGAGAAUGGACCUGCUUACCUGAUUCAACCCAGCCUCUCUCCAACAUACUGACCCCAGAAUUCUUCUCCCCAACACAUUGACACCUAUGAACCACGGGCUACACUGUCCUAAGCUGUGGUAAAGCCCUGAUGGGGUCCAAUGAUGAUGACUUCCUCCCAGGUGAGAAGGCAGACACAGACCUUGCUUGUUACAGCCUUUCCGGGGGCAGGAGACAGCUGUCCUUGCAGUGACACCGCCUCAGAGACUGGCCUUGUUUCACAGGGAUGUGCGACAUGGAAUUCCCACCCUUCCCCUUCCUCCCAGUGCUCAGGGGCCCCCCACCCUGUAGACAGUACCCAGAUCAAACCCCAGCCUGGCAACUGUCUAAGCUGCCACAGGCCUAGGAGGGCUCCCAGGUAAGGGAAGCAGACAGACACACAGACACACAGACUAUGGAAGCACAGGCACACUGAAAAGCGCAGCCAGUGGAGACUGCACUUGUUUGAUGGCAGUAAUGACAGAUGACGGCACUGCAGGGGGGCGGGCCUGUGACCAGAGCUCAACAGUGUCCUCAGCUCUGGCUCAACCUCUCUCCAUCCCAGCCUCAGCACUUCAGUUUCCAUUCCUCCCACUGACAUAAGUACCAUUUCUGGCUAAAGCUCAGACAUGCAAUUUUAUCCCUGAAGAUCAAUUUUUCAUCCUCCCUAACUCUGGCUUCUCAGUGUGAAGACAAGUACACAAGAAGAACCCGGUGGUCCACCCAGCUGCUGUCUCCAGGUAGCUUCCCCCACUUGGCCUUGUACACUGCGCUUGUGGCUCCCCCAGGACAUAAGCCUCAUUGGGGCAGCAGCCAGGCUUUGGCAGUUGCCAACCAAUGACAGCAGGUCUCAGGUGUGCAUCCGGCUGCUCCUUCCACCUGCCUGCCAUGCUCAGGGCUACCAAUGAGAUGAGACAGACCCAGGGCACUUUGUGAAGUCCUGGAGACCAGGAAUCAAAGGCCUCCCUGGCUCUGGCGACUCUUGUGGGGGGACCUUUCUGCAGGGGACGAGGGGCCACCGGGCACUGCACGGUGACAGAGACAGACAUGGAGCACACGCUGGACUGUGGCCUGCCUGCUGUCAUGUGCAGGCCGGAGACGCUUACCUAGGGAGAGUCCAUUGGUGACGGCAGAAGAGGAGGUGAGGGCGAGGCCCCUGCGGGGGCUGCGAGACUCUAGGACACUGUCGUCCAGCAGGUGCCUCGCUUUCUCCGAUGGGAAUGUCGCACUUUUACUCUCAACUACACUCAACUGACACAUCAUACUGGAAAAUGGAAAGGAAGAAAGAAGGCAAAGCUCCUUAUCCUCAGAGUAACAGAUGAUGACAAAGCUCAAGUGAGUGGACAGCACUUGUGAACGAUGGAGCCACACAAGUGAAGGGGGAGCAUGACCCUGUGGGCAGUGCGCCUGAUUCUGGAGCCACGCAUCUGAUCCAAAUUCUUGUUCCAACCUUACUUACCAUUGUGAAGUACUUCAACCUGUUGAACCUCACAGGACUCCUUCUUACAGUGUAUACUAUAGCACCUACCUGGGAGGCCUGCAGGGACUCAAUGAUAUAGUGCUUGACAGGCAUGUAUCAGACUAACACAGAGCAAGCCCUAGACACUCAGAGAGCAACCCCCCACCCAGUCUGUGAGUGACUCCAAGGCCAGCUUGAGCUGACUGAGGCUUGUGUCUUAGUGGUGGAAGGAAGGGAGAGAGAGAAGGACGGAAGGGAAAGAGGAAGAGAGGGAAGGAGAGGAGGAAAGAACAGGGGGAAGAGGGCUCCAACUGUUCGAGAGUCUCUGACCAGCACCCCAGGGACACAGGCAUGGCUGCCCCAGCCAUGUGAGGUCCACACGUGCCCCCCAGCUGUCAGUCACAUAAGGCUGGGCAAACUAGUGGCAGGUUCACUGCUCUGCAGGCUUUCUGAGACAACUGGCAAGCAGACACUCUGAGCCCCAACACUGGCAGGUGCCUUAAGACAUUUCCAGAGCCCCUGCCAGCCUGAAGGGAGGGACCAGCCUUCAGGAAGAGGAACUCAGCAGAUGGCUAAGGGAGCCCCCCAGUGGUCAAGCAUUCCCAGCCACCGUGGAGCCCAUGCCCCAGCUCAGUCUAGUCUGGAGCCCACAGUGGGUGGGGGUUGGGGGGGUCUGCUCAGUCACCCACUUGUUUCCCAGGCUGUGGCUCUUCCUGUGUCUUGGGACAGGGGGUGUGGGGAGGCUGCCAGCCACAGAUGCAUCAGGACAGGUGGGCCGCCGGCUGAACCUUGCAGAACUGGAGCCAGUGGAGGGGCCUGUGAACAGAGCAGAGAGCAAUGGUCGGGGCUGGGCUGCAGAUGCUCGGAGGUGAGGGCCCCGGGGGGGUAAGGCACCAGACCCGGCUGUUGAGUGCAGGGCACGGUUCACAGAAACCUUGUGGUUUCCCACUCAUGAGACACUGAUCUCUCACUGGCAGGAUAACCAGCCUCUGAACUGCUUGUCAAGAUGGCCAGUGUCCUGCUAUGCAUGGUGCCCCUCGACCAGGCAGUGCCACUGGCUAAUACAGGGGUGA